rnacentral:rRNA from 1 species
AUGCAGUCGAGCGGUAGAGAGAAUCUUGCUUCUCUUGAGAGCGGCGGACGGGUGAGUAAUGCCUAAGAAUCUGCCUGGUAGUGGGGGAUAACGCUCGGAAACGGACGCUAAUACCGCAUACGUCCUACAGGAGAAAGCAGGGGACCUUCGGGCCUUGCGCUAUCAGAUGACCCUAGGUCAGAUUAUCUAUUUGGUGGGGUAAUGGCUCACCAAGGCGACGAUCCGUAACUGGUCUGAGAGGAUGAUCACUCACACUGGAACUGAGACACGGUCCAGACUCCUACGGGAGGCAGCAGUGGGGAAUAUUGGACAAUGGGCGAAAGCCUGAUCCAGCCAUGCCGCGUGUGUGAAGAAGGUCUUCGGAUUGUAAAGCACUUUAAGUUGGGAGGAAGGGCAGUAACCUAAUACGUUGCUGUCUUGACGUUACCGACAGAAUAAGCACCGGCUAACUCUGUGCCAGCAGCCGCGGUAAUACAGAGG